CUUUACUAUAACUUGGUAUUGUACCGUGAAUCAUGUUGCGUAGGAUAGGUGGGAGACUAUGAGGCGAGGAUUUUGGUUCUCGCGGAGUCAACGGUGAAAUACCACCCUUUAUGAUUUACUGUACUCAUCCCGAUCAAUCGGGAGACAGUGCUUGGUGGGUGGUUUAACUGGGGCGGUUGCCUCCUAAAAUGUAACGGAGGCGCGCAAUGGUUGGCUUAGACCGUAUGGAAAUCGGUUGAGACGUGUAUUCGCACAAGCCAGCCUGACUGAGAGACCUACAAGUCGAUCAGAGUCGAAAGACGGUGAAAAUGAACCGGCACACACGAAUGGAAGUGGUGUCGAUCAACGGAUAAAAGUUA
rnacentral:rRNA from 1 species